rnacentral:rRNA from 1 species
UACAGAGGUCUCAAGCGUUGUUCGGAUUCAUUGGGCGUAAAGGGUGCGUAGGUGGCGCCGUAAGUCGGGUGUGAAAUUUCGGAGCUUAACUCCGAAACUGCAUUCGAUACUGCGGUGCUUGAGGACUGGAGAGGAGACUGGAAUUCAUGGUGUAGCAGUGAAAUGCGUAGAGAUUAUGAGGAAGACCAGUGGCGAAAGGCGGGUCUCUGGACAGUUCCUGACACUGAGGCGCGAAAGCGUGGGGAGCAAACAGG